CUGGCUUAUUAAGAGAAAUAGUGUAGUAUCUGUUCUUUUCAAUUUAAUAUCUGAUACGUCCCCUAUCUGGGGACCACAUAUUAAAUUGAUAUUUGGAACAGGGAGAUGGAAUAGGGGCUUGCUCUUUUAUUUUUAUUUAAAAAAAAA
rnacentral:snRNA from 1 species